AUGGCUCCUCGCGCUCUCUCAUGGAUCAGCGUCUCUCUGCUUGUCUUCUUGGCGUCGUGGUCAUGCGUUGCGGCCAGGGGCGGACGGGCGCCCAGAACCGCCGACCCGACUGACGGGUUCACGGCGGUGAGGCUCGGCGAGAGCAACUUCGCGUUGCAGCGCCCGUUCGACGAGGCGAUCGGCUCACGAUACAGCUUCGACGGCACCGUGCGAAGGCUUUGGGUGCUCUCUUCCGACAAGCCCCAUGUCCGCCAGAGCCGAACAAAACCAAGGACUGAGAUCAGGAUGACAGGCUACGACUACAGCUCCGGCGUGUGGCAGUUCGAGGGCUACGGCUACGUCCCAUCCGGCACGACGGGGGUGUGUAUCAUGCAGGUGUUCGGCGCCAGCGACGGGGCCAGCACGUUCAUGCUGCGCGUCUACGAUGGUGCGCUACGCUACUACGCCCGGCAGCUAGUCGAGGACAACAUCUAUAACAGGUGGUUCCGGCUGAACGUGGUCCACGAUGUCAAGGCGUCGACACUCACCGUGUACAUCGACGGCGAGCAGAAGCUGCGUGUCCACGGCCGCGGCGGCCACUCGUACUUCUUCAAGUUCGGCGUGUACGCGCAGAACCACGACUCCAGCCGCAUGGAGUCUCGCUGGAAGCACGUGAGAAUCCUCAAGAAACAUUAG
rnacentral:rRNA from 1 species